AUUGAACGCUGGCGGCAGGCCUAACACAUGCAAGUCGAGCGGAUGAGUGGAGCUUGCUCCAUGAUUCAGCGGCGGACGGGUGAGUAAUGCCUAGGAAUCUGCCUGGUAGUGGGGGACGACGUUUCGAAAGGAACGCUAAUACCGCAUACGUCCUACGGGAGAAAGCAGGGGACCUUCGGGCCUUGCGCUAUCAGAUGAGCCUAGGUCGGAUUAGCUAGUAGGUGGGGUAAUGGCCCACCUAGGCGACGAUCCGUAACUGGUCUGAGAGGAUGAUCAGUCACACUGGAACUGAGACACGGUCCAGACUCCUACGGGAGGCAGCAGUGGGGAAUAUUGGACAAUGGGCGAAAGCCUGAUCCAGCCAUGCCGCGUGUGUGAAGAAGGUCUUCGGAUUGUAAAGCACUUUAAGUUGGGAGGAAGGGCAGUAAGCUAAUACCUUGCUGUUUUGACGUUACCAACAGAAUAAGCACCGGCUAACUUCGUGCCAGCCGCCGCCGUAACAC
rnacentral:rRNA from 1 species